UUUUUUUUUUUUUUUUUUUUUUUACAAUGAUCCUUACACUGGAUUCAUUUAUCUUCAAAUAGCAGGCAGCCACAGCUGCUGACCUCAACAUAUGGCACAUAUCAAGCAAUUAUCUUUUUCUUGUAAUAUCAUGACUCUUCUCUGUUUCUUGGAAGCACUUACAGCAUUACUAGUGGCACUUCAUAUGGGUUCUAUGGUGUUAUUCAAAAUGUAUGGUAUCACACCAAACAUGAUGAAAAAUACUUGAGAACCACAAGAGAUCACUUUUUACUGCAAUAUGCAAUUUACUGGAGACUAAGUGCCCACAUGGAGAUGAUUCACAUCACAUGGCUUUAAGGUGGCUGCUUGCAACACUUAAGCUUACCACAGUACCAACAGUAGGUGGUAUGAAAUUAUUAUAGGAGACAGACUUUGUAUGAUACCAUAAUGGUGAAUACAUGUCAUGACAUAUUUGUCAAAAUCUAUGGACUGUACAACACCAACAGUGAACCCUAUGGACUUUAAGUGAUAACCAUGUAUCAAUGUAGGUUCGUUGGUUAUAACAAAAAAUACCACACUGAUGGGAGGUGUUGAGAAUGGGGGAGGCCAUCCAGGUUUUGGAGGAAGGCAUAUGGAAAAUCUCUGUACUUUCUGCCUAAUUUUGUUGUGAACCUAAAACCGCCCUAAAAAGUUAGUCUUUGGAAAAACACCUGACAAUAGGGAUUGGUGAGAGAAAGAAUCAAAUGGAAAAAGGAACUCAUACAUUAAUAGUGGGAAUGUUAACUAACAGUAUAGGUGAGGCUAUACCACCAAGUCCCAAAAAAUUCACUUCUAGGUAUGAACCAAUAAAACCUCUUUCACACAUUAACAGCACUGUUACAGCAACACUGUAGCAUCUACCAACAGGAGAAUGAAAAUAGAUUGUUUAUAGUAAUUGUUUUAUAAACAAAGCUACAAAUAUCAAGCACAAAUAAAUUGCAUAAAUAUGUUGAAGGUAAAAAGCAAGCUGUAGAAUAAUAUAUAGUAUAUAAUACUUAAAUACAUUUCAAAAUCAGGCAAAACAGUCAAUUAUUGACAAACUUAUUUCAUUUGCAAGUACAAAAUACAUCAUUAAAAUAUGACACAUUAUCAACCAUAAGAUGUAUUCUGAUGUCAGAAUGUUAAAAUGUACACUUUAGCAUUAAUGAAAUCCAGAAAAUAUUGUUUAGGGAUAUAUGCACUAAAAUUCUAAGGAAAUAUAUGGGAAUGAUACUUUUCUAAUCCAUUAUAGUGGUUACGUCUGCAGGAAGAGAGGAACAGAGGGAGCAAUGAUAUGAGGGUGAGGUUAAAAAUAAUACAAGGUGGCCUAUUAUAAAAAAAAAUAAUACUUAUGUGUUACUUAUAUACAAAUUAUCUCCAAAAAGGUAGCUGAGACAUGUGAUCCAGCAAAAGUAAUACCACAUCCCUUGUUGGAAGACGUUACCUUUUUUUUUUUUUCUUCUUUUUUUCCGAGACAGAGUGUUGCUCUGUCGCCCAGGCUGAAUUAAAAAAAAACACCCAACUAUAUGAUGCCUAUGAGAAGCCCAUUUUAAAUACAAAGGUCAUAUUUAAAUUACAAAGGUCAUAUUUAAAUUAUAAUAAAUAAGGUUAUAAUUAUAUUAAAAAUAUAAAUACGUUAAAAGUAAAAAAAAAAAUAGAAAAAGAUAUAACAAUGCUAAUGCUAAUUUUAAAAAGAUGAAGUAGACCAGGUGCUGUGGCUUAUGCCUGUAAAUCUAACGCUUUGGGAGGCCGAGGCAGGAAGAUCCCUUGAGCCCAGUUUAAGACCAGCCUGGGCAACACAGGCAGACCUCGUCUUUAUAAAAAACCAAAAAAUUAGCCAGGCAUGGUAGCAUGUGCCUGUGGUUCCAGCUACUCAAAAAGGUGAGGUGAGAGGAUCACUCAAGCCCAGGGGUCAAGGCUGCAGUGAGCUGUGAUCACGCCACUGCACUCCAGCCUGGGUGACAGAGCGAGACCUUGUCUGAAAAAAAAUAAAAUUACUAAGCUGGAGUAGACAUACUACUACCAAAGUAGAUUUGAGAACUAAGAAUAUUAACGGACAAAGAACGUCAUUUUGUAAUAAAGGCAUCAGUUAACAGUACAGAACAAUCCCAAACGUUUAUGCGUUUAGUAAAAAAAACUCCAAAACACAUGAAGCAAAAACUGAUGGAACAAAAAAAAAGGAAUGGACAAAUUCACAAUUAUAGCAGAGAUUUCAAAACUAUUCUCUCAAGAAACAGGCAAACAGUAGACUUGAACAAAUUAUUGCAACAGAAUAGGAAAUACAUGAAUGUACCCAAAUAUAUCUAGUGAUUAGGUAUAUGUUAAAGGUGACAUUUCAAAUAUGUGGCAAAUGUUGAAUUAUUUGUAAAUGAUCAUUGAAAACUAGGUAACUGUAUAGGGGUAAAGUUGGAUUUGCACACACAAAAAAAAUUAAAGAAAAAAAUGAAAGCAAAAACAUAACAGGAGGAAAUCAUGGGAAAAUUUAAAAAUUAUCUCAGGGAUAUGGUCUGAAUGUCUGUGUUCCCUCCAAAAUUUCUAGGUUAAAACCUAAUCCCUAAUGUGACAAUAUUAAGAGGUGAGGCCAUGUAUGGGAUUAGGGCCCUUAUAAAAGGACUUGAGGUUGGCCAGGCACGGUGGCUCACGCCUGUAAUCC
ensembl:lncRNA